GAACUGCGAUAAGUAAUGUGAAUUGCAGAAUUCAGUGAAUCAUCGAGUCUUUGAACGCACAUUGCGCCCCCUGGCAUUCCGGGGGGCAUGCCUGUCCGAGCGUCAUUGCUGCCCUUCAAGCCCGGCUUGUGUGUUGGGUCGUCGUCCCCUCCGGGGGACGGGCCCGAAAGGCAGCGGCGGCACCGCGUCCGGUCCUCGAGCGUAUGGGGAUUUGUCACCCGCUCGAUAAGGACCGGCCGGGCGCCAGCCGGCGUCUCCAACCUUUUUUUCUCAGGUUGACCUCGGAUCAGGUAGGGAUACCCGCUGAACUUAAGC
rnacentral:misc_RNA from 1 species